rnacentral:rRNA from 1 species
UACGUAGGGGGCAAGCGUUGUCCGGAUUUGUUGGGCGUAAAGAGCGUGUAGGCGGCCAGGUAGGUCAGCUGUGAAAACUCGAGGCUUAACCUCGAGACGCCGGCUGAAACCCUCUGGCUAGAGUCCGGAAGAGGAGAGCGGAAUUCCUGGUGUAGCGGUGAAAUGCGCAGAUAUCAGGAAGAACACCCGUGGCGAAGGCGGCUCUCUGGGACGGUACUGACGCUGAGACGCGAAAGCGUGGGGAGCGAACAGG